ACUGUUGUCACUGUACCUACGAAGACUUAGGAGCAGCAAGUCACCAUUUUAUGAACUGGAUUUUACAGUUGCCAUAUGUUGGAUUAAAAUAAGAUCUUAAACUUCGAAAUGUGUGAGCUUUCCAGGAUAGAACUUCCUAGGUUUGUUCAUACUUCCUGUCAUAGGAACCUGGCCUCUUUUUAUUGGAAGAUGCAGGAUGACUGGCAUUGAUAGGUACCCUGUGCUGCUUUGUAAAGUGUAAAGAACUAAGUACUGGCCUUCAAAAAAUCAGGAGGAGAUACAUUACUGCUUUCAGAUGUCAAUGCAAGAAUGUGUGAUCCCAGGAUUUCCUAAGGCACGUGUAAUGCAGGAACAGUAGUCUAAUGUUAGACUUAUCAUCAGUGGAUGUACAUGCUGGAUGGUGCUGUUGUACAACAGACUGAAAACAGAAGCACUCCACCCACUACUGACUCUUUCAGGCUUUUUUGGUCUCUUCCCACAGAGGUAGCAGAAUUCAUCCAAUAGAAAGGAAAGAUUGAAAUAGUGCAUGAGAAAUAGGAGAUUUCUGUACAGCUUGAGAAGCUUUGGAAUAUAUUCCUUGAUAGAUUUUUUUUCACUGUGGUUAUUUGAUCACAACUAGGCACUGAGCAGCAGCUGUAAGCUUUCUCCUAGGUCUGGGUAAAUAUCCUGAUUCCCAUCUGUACAUUUGGGCCAUCUCAUUUUUUCUGUUACCCUACAGUGCAAGGCCUUGUCUGGCUCAGAGUUUUCUGCUGCCACAAUUGCGAUGAGUCUAUGCUCUUGAAGAUGUUCAAAGGAAGCUCACAAAAUUGCAGAGUAUGCUGAUUUGGAAAGAACCCAUAAGGACUAUUUGAGUCCAAGUUGUCUAGCUCUAGAGUCCUGAAAAUUUCUUUGGAUUUAGCUGAAGCUUUUGAAAGGCAGUGAGUUGAAUCUGCUGCUGCUCUGAGUCUCCUUUAUGGUCUUGUAAUGAAACUUUUGCACACAAGUUAUCAAGAAUAUGUGCAUAGAUGAGCUUUUGGUAAAACUUGGAGAACAGAUAAGAUGAAUUUAGAGUACAAAAUGUUAUGCUGCUCUAAUGCAUUUAGAGACAACCCUUAACUUGUGUUAAAAAUAUCUGCCUCUUUAAAGUUGGUCUUCCCAAAUAGCCAUGAAAGAAUUACUGUGUGGAAAAACAGUACACCAUUGCAGGCUUUUGUUUUCUUGGAAGAAUCUGAGGCAACUGGAAGAAAUAGUUCUGUAAGUAUUAAAGUAAUAAAAAGUAAAACAAGCAGACUACA
rnacentral:lncRNA from 1 species